AGAAUCAACGCUGGCGGCGCGCUUAACACAUGCAAGUCGAGCGAGAAAGGGGAGCAAUCCCUGAGUACAGCGGCGUACGGGUGAGUAACACGUGGAUCAUCUACCUUUUAGUGGGGAAUAACCCUGGGAAACCGGGCUAAUACCGCAUAAUCCUGUGAAGGGAAAGCAGCAAUGCGCUGAAAGAGGAGUCCGCGGCCGAUUAGCUAGUUGGUGAGGUAACGGCCCACCAAGGCGAUGAUCGGUA
rnacentral:rRNA from 1 species